CCUAUGUCCUGUUGUCCGCUCCCUAGAUGCAUGUGAGAAGAGGCCAACCCUCAUCUGGCUACAGCCUCCUUUCAGGUGGUUGUGGAGAGUGAUGAGGUUUCCCCUGAGCCUCCUUUUCUCCAUGAGAAACAUAACAUAAACACCUGCAGCUCCCUCAGCCACUGCUCAAUAGAAAUGUGCUCCAGAUCCUCCACCAGCUCUGUUGGCCUCCUCUGGACACACCUCACUAUCUUUCUUGGUGUGGGGGGCCCAGAACUGAACAAGGAAAAAUAUCUAGCAAUUCACAAAAAUAGCAAGGUUAUAAACAAACAGGAGGUGGGUUGUUGCCAAAACUUCAGAGACUCCAAGAAACUGAGGAAGAAAGGGUGUAAGCUGGAGCACCUUAGCCUAUGCAGUUAAACCAAGCCUACUGGCUGUAUAAACUAAAGAAUGAAAUCUUUGCCAAUCUGGAAUCCAUAUGAUAACCUGGGUGGAAAUCUAAAAUCCAUGGAUCCUUUUAGAGAAAGAGAAUGGUAACUUGUAUGUUUUCUUGGUAUUUCAACUCCCUGAUAAAGUUAGAGAUUUUACAGGUUGAGAUAAUGAGGGUGAUUUUUGUAUUGGUCCCCAGGGAGAUGACAGAGAGUAGCAUAAAAUGAUCUUGCUCAGAGCUGUGCUCUGAGAUUACUGUCUUCUUACUAGUGCACAGAGGGCACUGUGUUAACCUAAAUGCUAAUCUGGUAAAUAUAUAUAAAGAUCAUUUUGGUGUCAUACUUUUUACUAAAGCAGUAUAUUUAAUAUUAAUUGUUUUGACUUUUGCAAGUUUCUGUUGUGAUUGCUAAUGGUAACUGAAGUUACUUAGGAUGCCUGGCUAAGCUGGUUAUUUGACCAAUAUUACAGAAUUUUUACUGGCGCAUAACUUCUCAGACAGACUACUGAUUUUCCUCAAAUGUGGUAACUGCAGUAGCAAAUACUAUGAAAACUAGCAAAUA